GUAUGAAAGAUACAGUAAGAUUUCUUCAUCUGUGGCUCACUUGGUUUUUAUUCAUUAAUUUGGACAAUGAUUUAUUAACUCACCAAUUAUAUAUUAAGUGCCUGGUGUAUAUCAGGCUCUCCAUUAGGGCCAGAGCUGUGGUUCUCAUCUGGGCUGAUUUUCUCCUGCGGGAGGCAUUGGGCAAUGUCUGGAGAUGGUUUUUGAUCAUCACACUGAGGAUGGUGUGCACUGGCAUUUAGUGGGUAGAGACCAGGGAUGAGGCUAAGCUUUCUACAGUGCACAGGAAAGCCCCCACACCGAGAAAUUUUCUGGCCCCAAAUGUGAAUAUUGCUGCUCUUGAGAAACACUGGACUAGAGGGUUCAGAUACCCCGGGUAAAGUCCUUGCCCUUUCAGGAUCACGGGGGGAACUGACACUGUAAACUAAUUAUUCCGGUGCACUCCACAGUGAAGCAAGUGCUGGGUACCAUAAAGAGCAGAAUCAGAUGCCACUAACUUUGUUGGGGUUGAAAAGAUUUCUGGAAGGAAGUCACAUUGGAGAUGAGUCUUCAAAGAUGAGUGGGAAGACACCAGCAAGUAGCAACAAAGAGAGGAAGCAAGAAAAUGAGCCUAAUAAAUACAGGGAAGGAAAAUGUGGAAGAAGAAAGAGCAAGGGAAUGGAAAAUAUUUUUCUUUAAGCUCAGUUUAAGCAUUCCAGGUGGAUCUGGAGGCUUCACGUGUCAGGAACCAGAGUCCAUCUCAUCCUACCAUCCUCAAGUCAUGGCCUCCAUCCCACGCUCUCAGAUGGUGUAUCCAGGCCUCACCAUCACCUCCAUGUUCCAGCCAGCAGAAGGAAGAAAGAAAUACACUCCUUUUCUUUAAAGAGCAUCACAUGGUGGUAAAAAAAACACAAUUUCCCCUCACAUCCUCCCUUUCAUUAUUUUCUUUCUUCUACUAACUUGAGGUUUACUCUAUUAUUGUUUUCCUAGCCUCUAGAGUUAAAUCUUAUUUAUUUUCAGUCUUUCUUGAUUUUUAAUUAGUGUAUUUUGUCUACCACUUAAAUUUCAUCCUCAGUCCUUGGUAUGCAGUAAUUUCACUUCAUUUAUUUAUUUAUUUUUUAAAAAUUUAUUUAUUUACUUAUUUUUUUAUUUAUUUAUUUUGUUGGCUGUGUUGGGUCUUUUUUGCUGUGUGCGGGUUUUCUUUUAGUUGUGGUGAGUGGCGGCUACUCUUCGUUGUGGUGCCUGGGCUCCUCAUUGCCAUGGCUUCUCUUGUUGAGGAGCACGGGCUCUAGGUGCAUGGGCUUCAGCACAUGGGCUCAAUAGUUGUGGCUCACAGGCUCUAAAGCACAGGCUCAAUAGUUCUGGCGCAUGGGCUUAGUUGCUCUACGGCAUGUGGGAUCUUCCUGGAGCAGGGAUCGAACCUGUGUCCCCGGCAUUGGCAGGCAGAUUCUUAACCACUGCGCCACCUAGGAAGCCCAAUUUCACUUCUUUUAAACUCCCAAUAUUUAAAAAUUUUCAAUGGCAAUUUUUGUUUAAUAUUUUUUAUUUCUAAAAUUUUAUUGAUUCUUUUUUCAUAUCUUCCUCUUUUUAUUUAUGUUUGGCUGAUUUUUAGAAAUAUAAUCUCCUGUUCUACUUCAUGGAUAUAAUUUCCUUAUCUCUCUGAAUAUUCCAGGCAUAACUAUUUUUAGGUCUUUUUCAAAAUAUCCUUUAUAAAUUUAUCCAGAUUCAAUUUAUUUUCUGAUUUUUAAUUUUGGAAGUUGUUUUUGUCAUCUAUGUGUUGUUUGUUUGCUCAGUGUUAUAUUCUUUGAUAUGUUUUGGAAUUGGGAUUUGUAGGAUAAUCUUGUCUUUGACUUUUCAUCCCAUUCAUUUUUUCUGUGCUGACCCCUCCCUGUCUAGAGGGUUUACAAUUCCUUCUAUCAUUACAAUUGCCUCUAUUCAUUACAAAGUCAGAAUGGGCCUCUCCUGCCCUUUGAUGAUAAUGGUGAAAUCACAGAUAUAAAUAGAAGCUUCCCUCAGUUUCUGAUUAAGAGGCUGUGUCUAUGUCCAUCCACCUCCCCAGGUAUGCAGUAUUUUAUACAUGGUUCCAUCAGGCAGCAUUUUUCAAUAUAUUUUUUCUUGAGUCAGAGACUCCAGCAGUAAACAUAUCCCAGCCUCUCAACUUAUGGGAAGCACAUUUUCCAGGAGCUGAAUCUUUUGGCCACCCUUUAUGCUUGCAUUCCUGCAGUGCAGUACCCAGUGAUGUUACUUCUUGCUUAUUUUUUUGUGUGUUUUUGUUCUGCCAUUGAUCUAUGGUGAUGUGUAUCACCAUGGAGGUGUUUGGACCAUAAGGAUGUCUGACUACGUAGGCAGAUAUUUUUGUGUUUACUAAAAUAUGUUUCUUCUAUUUUCAUGGCACAAAACUAGACUACAUUUACAACCUCCUUUGCAAUUGGGUAUGGCCAUAUGACUGAGUUAUGGCUAAGGAAUGUGGGCAGAAGUGAUACAUGACAUUUCUAGAAUUGUCCCAAAAAAAACUCCACCAUGUCCUGUUGCAUGCUGUUUCUCUUGGCCAUUGGCUGGAAGUGAAGGACUCUUAAGAGAUGGAAGAAUUAUAAAACUGAAGGAGCCUGGGUCCCCGAGUCACUGCACGGAAGGCAGCCCAUGGAUAUCUGGUUGAAAUUUACAAGAAAGGCCAUGUGAGGACAGCAAGAAGGCAGCCAUCUGCAAGACAGGAAGAGAGACCUCACCAAAACCCAGCCCUGACAGCACCUUGAUCUGGGACAUUCAGCCUCCAUAAUUGUGAGAAAAUAGGUAUCUGUUGUUUUAGCCACUCAGUGUAUGAUGUUUGGUUUUAGUAGCCCUCGCAGACAGAUACACCUGGUUACAAUCCUUUAAAUGAUCACUUGGAAAGAAAUAGUGAUCAUGCAAGCUGCUGACAGUUACAGUGAGGCAGGGUUAUGAGUUAGGCUGCAAGAUCAAGAUUAUCUGGCAGCUGGUGAUCAGACUGCUGGCAAAUAUACGAUGACUUCUGUAUGGUGAUAUUUCCUUAAAAAUGCAAUGAUAAGAGAGGAUUCACUAUGGACAGGAUCACAGGAGAAUAUUUCAUAGAGGACAGGGGGUGGGCAAUGAAAGAUGGGAUGUUCUAGGGAUGGCAUUUAGGAUGGAAAGACAGUAUGACCAAUGGCACAGAGGAGAAGAGGCGAUGACUGUGACAACUGUGAGUAGACCUGAGGUGAACUUUACCAGCAGAGGAGUGAUGGGCUCUGUCCUUACCCUGAGAUUCACCAGCACAAUUACAUGGAAGGGGUCCCCAGUUGCUUUGUGCAUGAACACACUUUGCUCCCCAGUUGGAUUUAAACUCUGUCAGGCUAAGGACUCCUUGACUGACUCUUUCUAGCUGCUGGGACCUUCUGCUUUUCUGCAUUUCCAUCUUGGUAUGGGGGGAUCGCACCCUCCCAGGAAUUUUCUUAUCACUUCUACACACUCUCCUUUAUUUCUGUACCCCUUAGAAUAUCAUACAGCUGCCCACUCCCUCAAACUCCACCCUGCAUGCCCUUCAUUCAUCAACUCUGUCAGUACCUUCAUGGACCUCAUACAACCUGUGAAUAUCCUAAAAGUCACGAAUUGUGCACUUUAAAAUGGUGAAUUUUAUGGUAUAUGAAUCAUACCUCAAUUUUUAAAAUUAGACUACUAUAUUGAAAAAAAUCAUCCCUAUAAAAAUACAACUAAGAAACAGAUUGAAGUACAGAAUAAUUAUUAUUCUGCUUAGAUUAAAUGUUGGGGUUAGAUAAUCAAUAUAAAAUUUCAUGAUAUUUGUUUUAAUUUUAUUUUAAAUCCAUUGGUAAAUGAUUGAACAAAGAUAGUGGAAGCAUGGGAGAAAUGAAUAGAAUGAAGGGCAUUUCUGUAGGAAUGAGUCUGGGUAAAGAGAAGAAGGAGCAAGGGAAUGAGAGCCAGGUGGGAGAACUAUCUGGGAGGAGAAUAAAUGCUGGCUGAAUGAAUAGCGUUUCACAUUGUUGUAUUAGGGUAAACAGGAAAUCAACAGCAAUUGCUUGCAUUAACAUUUGAACAAGUUUUAACACUGCUGUGCAUCCCAAUGGAGCCAAUUUCAGAGACUAACCAUCGUGUGUGGGACAUGAGCUUGCACAUGAAAUGAUAAAGAAUUCUGAAAGCAUAUGCUGGUGUCAGUUUUUAUAGGCAGUGUUUGAAUUUGCAUUUUAAUGUUAUGAGAAAUGCCUUUAGUGAAUAAAGCCUGUGCUUCUGGGUAAAGGAUAUUUUACCCUUUAUCAGGGGUUCUCAACUCUUUGACUCUCCACCUCAUUUGGGAGUUCCUGGACCUUCCACAUUCUAAAGCAGGGUUCCUCCCAAAGCAAUCACCACCUCAUAAAAGGUACAAUGGGUUGGCCUUUUUACUGAAGGGAAUAGCGAUACCAUCUCAAGAAUUUUCCUGUGUUUCUCCCCAUCCAAGCAGAAACCAUGUGGGGUACAUUAUAAAGUUGGAACUAGAAAACAUGUUUCUGGCAUAAUGAUUACAAUGCCCCAGUAAACACACACAAAAAAGCAAACAAGGUUUUAAUAUAUCAUGAGAUAACAUAAUUUAUUGACUUGAAAGAUCUUGAGAGACCAUUACAGGCCAGCAUUCUCAUUUAAAACAUGGGAAAAUUGAACUCUUCUGGGAAGAUGGAGAAGUACUUUUCACUAUCCCUUCUGCUGAUACAACUGAAACCCCUGGACAUUAUAUAUAAGACACCAAAAGAAAACUCUGAAAGGUGGAGAAAAGAAGGCAGACUGGCAAGGGAAUCUCAGGACUGAAGGACCAAUACUACACAAUAUCUUUCAGAAAAGAGAAGAGGAAGGAUCACUUCCCAAUUCAUUGUAUGAAAAAAGUCUUACCCUGAUAACAAAAGCAAAGAUAGUACCGAAAAGCUACAAAAAGCUACAGCUAACGUUAUACCUAAAGUUGAUAGACUGAUUUCUCCCUAAGAUUGGGAACAAGGGAAAGAUCUCUGCUCUUACUGCUUGUAUUCAACAUAGUGCUGAAUUAAAAAUACAAAAUUAAAAAUACAAUACUAUUUAUAAUCACUCAAAAAACUGAAAAACCUUUUUAACAAAUGGUGCUGGAGAAAUUGCACAUCCAUAAGCAAAUUGAACCUUGACCUAAGUCUCACACCAUAUACAAAAAUUAACUCAAAAUGGAUCAUGGAUUUAAAUGUAAAACAUCAAACUAUAAAACUUUUAGAUAAAUAGUAUCAGAGAAAGUCUUCAGGAUCUAGGGCUAACCAGUGUGUUCUUAGACUUAACAUUAAAAGCAUUAUUCAUAAAAGGAAAAAAAUUAAUACAUUGAACUUCAUCAGAAUUUAAAAAUUUGUCAGUGAAAGACCCUGUUAAGAGGAUGAAAAGACAAGCUAGAGACUGGGAGAAAAUAUUUGCAAACCACAUAUUUGACAAAGGAGUUAUAUCUAAAAUAUAUAAAGAACUCGACAACUUCAACGGUUAAAAAAAAAAUCAACCCGAUUACAAGACUGAUCCAAAAUCCAUGGACAGACAUUUCACUGAAGAAGACAUACAGAUGGCAAAUAAGCACAUCAAUAUGUGUUCAACAUCAUUAGGGAAACGCAAACUAAAACCACAGUGAGAUCACUACACACCCAACAGAAUAACUAAAAUAAAGCAUAGUGACUCCAGGAAAUGCUGCUGAGGAUGUGGAGAAACUCCAUCACUCAUCCAUUGCUGGUGGAAAUGUACAAUGGUAUCUGGAAAACAGUUUGGCAGCUUCUUAAAAAGCUAAACACACAUCUAUAAUAUGACCCAGCAACUGCAUUCCUGGAUAUUUAUCCUAGAGAAAUGAAACUGUAUGUUUAUGCAAAAACCCUUACACAAAUGUUUUUAGUAAUUUUAUUUUAAACAUAAAGGAAAUUUUAAAGGUCAGUAGGAUCCUAAUAGUCAUUGAGCAUUCAACAUUAACUGUGUAAUAGAAAGGUAGAUCAGAUGACCAUGAAGUUCUACUCCAAAUCUAAAAUAUCAUGAUUUAUGCAAGACCUUCUUUCAGUCUUAUAAGAGAAUACACAAAGCACAUGUCCCUGACUUCCAAAACUCUUAACUAUAAGGUCAGUACAGACAAGGUUGGAGAUGAGGAGACCACUGCAACUGAAGCAGUCUAUGGGAUCAGGUGCACUGAGAGGAGAUAACCUGAAAAUUAGCCAUGAUGCCUAGGGUCACAAUGACACAUGGCAUUUUUGUCAAGGGGAAUAUAAGUUGAAACUCUAAGUGAAUGAUUGUUCCAGGAGCCAAAGAUGUCAAGGAUGAAGUUUGUGUUCUGGAAACAGGAAGGGAUGGAGAGAAUGUACUGAGACAGACAGUCAGAGUGGUGAGGCUUGGUCAAGAUCAUGGGCCACCAUGAGGAGGUGUAUCUCUUUUUGGCAGUGCUCUGUGGUCAUUCUCCAAAAUUUCCAGCUCCUGGUUCUUUGUUUUUGUUGUGUUGAGUGUUUAUUCAAGUUUCUCAGUAAGUAUGUGUAUGGUGACAACUUCCCACUCACUGUCCUUUCACAUAUUAGUCAUUUUUGUCUAAAGAAGGAAUCAUAACCCACCUCUACUUCUGAUGCUUGCUUAGCCCCAGCCUCAGAUGUCUUCCAUGUGAUGAUCUCUAGAAUAUUGUUGGAGCAGGGAGGAGAACAUUGCUCACCUUAAACCCCUUUAAAUGUACUGCCCUUCUUUUCUUCACUGUAGUAUUCAAUAGACCGAUUUAACCCAAGUUCUUUGGGUUGUAUAUCUAUACCUCUAUCUCUAGAUCUCUCUAUAUCUAU